AGUUUAUGAUGUGGACAGUCCUAAAGUAGAGCUUUGAACCACUCCCAAGCAUGAUAUAAAUUCUCAUUUGGCUUCUGUUUGAAGUAUAUAAUCUCACUGUGCAAUCU
rnacentral:snoRNA from 1 species